CCUACGGGUGGCAGCAGUGAGGAAUAUUGGUCAAUGGGCGCGAGCCUGAACCAGCCAUGUCGCGUGAAGGAUGACUGCCCUACGGGUUGUAAACUUCUUUUAUAAAGGAAUAAAGUGAGGCACGUGUACCUUUUUGUAUGUACUUUAUGAAUAAGGAUCGGCUAACUCCGUGCCAGCAGCCGCGGUAAUACGGAGGAUCCGAGCGUUAUCCGGAUUUAUUGGGUUUAAAGGUAGCGUAGAUGGGUUGUUAAGUCAGUUGUGAAAGUUUGGGGCUUAACGGGAAAAUUGCAAUUGAUACUGGCAGCCUUGAGAGCAGAGGAGGUAGGCGGAAUGCGUGGUGUAGCGGUGAAAUGCUUAGAGAUCACGCAGAACUCCGAUUGCGAAGGCAGCCUACCAAACUGCCACUGACAUUGAUGCACGAAAGUGUGGGUAUCAAACAGGAUUAGAUACCCCUGUAGUC
rnacentral:rRNA from 1 species